GUUUCUUCCAUUUUUUCGAGUAAUCAUUUUGUGUUUAUUCUUUCUUCCAUAAUUGUUGGAACGAAGAAUAAACUGCCUUAAAUCAUGGGUGUUUACACUGAAGCUUACAGCCUUGGAGUGACGUAAAAACCUUUAAGGACAUAAAUUUUCCGUACAAUCAUUGACGGGUCGAAGACCUACAACUACGAGGUAAAGUAGCGGAAGAUGAGAACAAGGAGAACACUAUUGAACAAACCAAUGACUCCUUGAACUCUGAAUAUGUUGCUUCUAACUCAGUUACUUCUAAACCUACUGUUGGUAAAUAUAGGCCACCAAAACAAGCGAAACAAAGUGCCUACUGCAAGUGUGCUUGUAGGAACAAUCAGAGACAAGGCAAGGCCAUGCCACCAGGGGCAGGAAGAAACAAUUCCUACGUGAAGAAAAAGACAUGUUUUCACUUUGGAACACCUGGACACAUUGCCAUAAAUUAUCCUAAUCGCACAUACGUUCCCUACUACGCACAAGGAUGGUGGAACGCGUUAAGAGGAAGAUACCCCAAAAGAAGCCCUUCAAGGUCACAAUCACGCAAUGGUGACUGGAAUGCCAGACAAGAAGUCUGAUCCAAGAGAUGCUCCAGUGAAACCAAGAUCAGUUAGGUCAAAGUCAUCUCAACGGCCGACUUCAAGUUCAAAAUCAAGUAUUGAGCCACCCAUCUGUUCGAACAAGAAAUGGGUUAAACCCGACUACAGAUGGGUACCAAAGGUUCAAUCUCCCAAAUCUUUAAAUGAUUCUAACAUUUCUUCAUAUUCUGUUUCUGAUAAGCAGGAUAUGUCAUGGGAGAGAGUACCAUGCAAAGAUGACAAAGGUUAACCCAGUUUCAAAAUGGAUUGGGUUCCAAAGACCAAUUGAUCCCGCUUUUUACUGGAGCAGCUAUGGAGGCAUAUCAUCAGACUUCGGUUUUUUGAUAAUGGUUGUUCCAGGCACAUGAUAGGGGCAUCUCUCAACUGUACAACACUCAGAACUUUAAGUGGGAGUAUGUGACCUUUGCGGGAAAGGAAGAAAAUAAAGGAUCACACAUGGGGUUUUGUGCUUAACGAUGUGAAGAAUUUUCGUAUCUGUUCUGAGAUCAAAAUAUGUGUGCUGUUCUUAGACCUUCUAGAUACAAAUUCAAUCGGUGACUUACGAUUUGAUUUUUCUUCUUGAUACUCCUGAGUUUUCUAUUACAAUGAUUCGUUUCAAAGACAUUUUUUUAAUUUUCUUAUAUGUCUAAUGGGAAGUGAUAUGAAGUCUAGUUCUAAAGGGCAAUCUGAAAUUCUUGUAAUGCACUAAAGCCGAAUUGUCUAGACUAUGUGUUCAAUGUACUGGUAGGCACAAAGGAUUCAAAAGGACUAGACUUAGUUUAACAAUCGAAAGGAAUUGAAAAUGUGAACUUAGAUAUUAUCAUUUGGACUGACCAUACGAUGCUUGGGUAGAUUGAGUAGUGAGAUAAACAUUAGAACCUGCAGGAUACACUAAAAGUUAUUUAUCUAGAAUUGUGGCUCAACAUAUCCUCGAUGUAUGGACUUAUGUCCUUAAUUUCGGUACUGAUAGGGCGACUGGGGGUUCUGAUAAAGUAGGUUUGUAGGAAAUUAUUUUCUUGCUUUCUAUCUAUUUGUCAUAUGUUUCUUCCUUUGCAUGAUUGGAAUAUAUCCGACCUGGAUCGCAACAUAUGCAAGUCUAUCUCUAUGCAUCUUCUUAUCUAUGCAAUUCUUUCUAUCUGUUAGCCAUAUGUUGUUCCCUCUGCGUGAUUGGAAGAUCCGACUUGGGAGACAACAUAUGCAUCCUACUAUCUCUCUAAUCCUCUAUCUGUGUUAGUCAUAUGUUUUUCCUUCUGCGUGAUUGGAAGACAUCCGACCUGGGAUACAACAUAUGACUUCUAUAUCUAACUUCUUUCUUAAUGAUUGAAUACUCACCUAAAGUAAGGAGUUCUUUGGAAGUUCUUGAUUGCCAAGGUAUAUCGGGAAGUGGGAACACGUUCUAGUGCAUCUAAAAUUGAACCGUUCAAAAGGUUGUCUGUAGAUCUUGCUGUUGAAUUUAAGUGGACAACAAUAUAUGUGGUCGUCGUCAGCCAAAUGGUCUAUUUAGGAAUAAGAUCACAAUGAAUUGUCACUUAUAAUCUGUCCAAUUUGUCAAUAUCCUUUGUGUUUAAGUGAACCACAAUACCGGUGAUUGACCAGAUCUAUAUAUGCAGGCGUGUGCUGAUAAUCGAAAUUGAAUUGCUUGACAACUUUGAUCCCAAAUAAUUUUGUUUUUAUUAAAUAUGUUCAUAGUUUUCCUUUAUGCAUAAAUUUAAGGGGGGAAUUACAAAUUUUAAAAAAGUCAAACAAAAAUCAGAAAACCAAAAAUCCAAAAAUAUUGUUAUUUCUGUUUUAUUUCUUUUUUCAGAAAAAGCAAAAAUCCAAAAAUAUUUUUGUUUCUGUUUUUUUUAGAAAAUAUGAAAAAUACAAAAAUAUUGUGUGCUAAGUUUUCUUUUAGUAUUGUUUUAUCUUAAAUUUUCUUUGUCUUGAAAAGUGAAUUCAGAUGUAGAUGAGACUCAUGGAGACUGUAUCGAAAAUUUCUAAGCCAAAGGUUCAUCCGUGAUCAUUGAAGAAUUCUUAUUCGAAGGAACCAGAAAUGAAGAUUAUUCUUUCAACACUCAAUCUUUCAACCCCAGAAGCAAGGUGAAGUUGUACAUGCAGAUUAUGUGACAGAUUGCAUUGAAGCCUCCUCAAUCAAUUUUCUGCUAUCUAUAAACCUGCUGAUGUGAUCCAGAAGAAUCGGUCUCUCAGAUAUUCUCUCUGAAGAUUCUCAAGCUGAAAGCGUCAUUUUUCAAAAAUCCCUACAUGAAGCCUCCUCACCCAAAUGUGCGUUCAGAGUCAAAUUUUGAAAAAUGUCUAACUGUUCAAGAUGAAGUCACUCACUUAGAAGAUUCAUAUGCUCAUAUUGAAGUCGUGAAGAAAUUGAAGAUUAAUGUUGAAGCCAAGCUCAAAAUGAAGAUUGACAAGAAAAUCUAGCUACAUUUUUAGGGGGAGUUUGUUGGGUCAAAAGAAAAGAAAGCUAUAAACCAAGGGGGAAAUUGUUGGGUAUAAAAAAUGUGGUUUAUACUUUACUUUUCUAGGCUUUAAUAGUUUUUGGUCUAGUACUGAAAACAGCCUUGGUUUUAUGGUUUAUGUGGUGUUUGUGGUUGGGUGUGUUUGCAGCUGCAAACUCUUUGUGGUUGUAAACGUGUUUGCAACCACUAUUGCCUAUUUUUAUAGUGUCAGUAGAGUCAUAUCAGAUAAGGGCUAAGUGUGUGUAAAUCAAGGUGUUCUAAAAAGAGAAAGUGAGAGAGAAAAAGAGCGUAUGUGUGUGUGAAUCUCAUAUGUAUGGAGCAUCAAUCUCAUAAUUGAAUACAUCAUAGAUUCAUCUUCUUCUUCU